GCCUGCUCUGACGAUAAAUGCCGGAGGAGAGGGGGAAGGAGAAGGCAGGCAAAAGUGGGUGGCGAGGGAAGCUGUUCUUGCAGCUUCUCACUCCUCCCGUGCAUGCCCUCUGUGAUACCGAGAGCCAGAAUAUGAUGUCAUUCCGGCCCCGGUAUACUAAAUAUCGGGCGGGAGAAGUGAUGAGGUGCCCCACACUGGACCCCAGGG